CACGGGUGAGUAACACGUAUCCAACCUGCCGUCUACUCUUGGCCAGCCUUCUGAAGGAAGAUUAAUCCAGGAUGGGAUCAUGAGUUCACAUGUCCGCAUGAUUAAAGGUAUUUUCCGGUAGACGAUGGGGAUGCGUUCCAUUAGAUAGUAGGCGGGGUAACGGCCCACCUAGUCAACGAUGGAUAGGGGUUCUGAGAGGAAGGUCCCCCACAUUGGAACUGAGACACGGUCCAA
rnacentral:rRNA from 1 species